GUGAAUUUUUGGUGGUGCCCCACGCUUUGGGCAGGGAUGUGACCUUGAGUGUUUGAGCGUGGUGAGAAAUUUUUGAAAAGUCACGGAAGGGGUGCGUCCGGCUAUCGCUGAAUUUCCUCGGGAAGUAAUACCUGAAGCUGGGAAAGGCGGAAAAACUUCAGAAAAUCCUGUAAAUUUUUGUACACGCAUCAACACCGUACGUCCGGAAUACGUGAGUUUUGGUGGUGCCCCAUGGUUUGGGCAGGGAUGUGACCUUGAGCGUUUGAGCGUGGUGAGAAAUUUUUGAAAAGUCACGGAAGGGGUGCGUCCGGCUAUCGCUGAAUUUCCUCGGGAAGUAAUACCUGAAGCUGGGAAAGGCGGAAAAACUUCAGAAAAUCCUGUAAAUUUUUGUACACGCAUCAACACCGUACGUCCGGAAUACGUGAGUUUUGGUGGUGCCCCACAGUUUGGGCAGGGAUGUGACCUUGAGCGUUUGAGCGUGGUGAGAAAUUUUUGAAAAGUCACGGAAGGGGUGCGUCCGGCUAUCGCUGAAUUUCCUCGGGAAGUAAUACCUGUGAGCACUGCAUCCAGAGAUUCUUCUCAACCAUUGUCUACCUGAGUGUCUUUUUGGCGGUCGAAUACGGGAUCCUGGCCAUCAAUAAUGGCACCUACAUUGCCCAAGUGAUGCGCUUCAAUCAUACCAAAUCCCUUCUGGAUGCAAUGCGGGGUUCCUUCGAGGGUUGCAGCUUCGUGGUGUUGACGCAGCGAAAUGCCGUUGUGGCGGAAUUGCUGAAGAAGCAGACGAACCUCAUAAGCUUCCUCAA